rnacentral:rRNA from 1 species
AUGGAUGCCCUCUCCCUCACGAUCUGCGUGCACCGCAAUAUACUCGUUGCGCGGAGUGGGUUCUUCACCGCCAAGCUCUCGGACCGUUGGUCCAAUCAGCGGUGGACAUUGUCUCACAUCAACAAGAUCUCCGACUACAACAACGUGGAGAUAGACACGGCGGCGGCUCCGUUCCCUGCUCGACACCUCGCUGGUGCUGACAGACGCACUCUGUGUCGCUGCAGCAGAGCGGCGCCAGACACAAUUCCCCACCUUGGCCGCCCUCACUCUGCUUAA